CCAUAACCUGAGCCAAAAACAGAUGCUUAACUUAAUGAGCCAUCCAAGUGUCCCUAAAAUAAACUUUAUUCUUAAGCUAGGAUUUGUUGGGUAUUUUCUAUGUACCCACUAAGCUAAAUUCAUGUUCCUAAAAGGCAGACACCAUUAAAUGCCCAUUACAUAGAUGAGGAACUAAGACUUACAGAUAUUAAGCAUCUUCCUCAAAGUCAUGCAUCUGUAAGAGAUGAUCUGAGAUUUGCAUCCAGGAUUGUAGCUUCUUUUACAACAGUGUUUACUGCUUCCAUGAGUUCCAGUUUUUACUCAAAGCGAGACUGUGGAGAGUCUCCUGGCCUGUAUGCUUGUCAAAUGGUUAAAGGAGACAGAGUAGUUGGCUUUCUAACAGUCACAGUACCAUCACUGCAGUUGUCUUCUUAGAUGCAAUGCCAUUCUCACAGGAAAUGUGGCACUCCUGGGCAUCCGUCAGGGGCAUGAGCAUUGCAGGCCAUGCACACCCAUGUCUCGUGCUCCCUGUGGCUCCCACAUCCUCUUACUGAUGCACCAUACAAAGGGUUUGUAGGAGGCUUUCAAGUGGAGGAAAGCCACUAGCAGACUUCAGGACCCUAAAUUAGCAUUCUAUGGAGGAAUGCUAAUGUCUAUCACCUGCAUAAAAUGACCUCUGAACAGGGAAGUAAAGCAACAAGGCAUUGAGAAUGGCAUGGGGGCCAGGUUGUCAUUGCUACAAAGCUCCAUGAACAGUGUCCAUCUUGCAAGGCUUUCCCAUGAUGUGCCUUUUCCACUGCAUUUUCCCUUUUUGACACUCUAAAUAAAUGACAGCCAGAUGCAGAACAACAACAACAAAAAGCAUCCAAAUAUUUACCUAUCAGGAAGCAAUUGUAUGAAAAAAAUCAGUUACGAGUGAGGUUUCCAAUUUGUAUAAAUGCUCAGAUUUGUCCCACAGGUUAUUAAAGUUGAACAACAGGCUUCCCAUUCUCUUUAGAGGCCAAACACUGCAAAGCUAUUAACUUGCAUACAUCUUGUGUGCUUCAAAAUUGAAAUUAGCUUCUUUAAUUGCAUCAGCAUAGACCACAUAUCUGUUCCUCAGAGAACCUGUUUUUAAAGGUAGUUUGAAAUUAAGUGACUCCAUGGCCUACGUGGGUGUCAUGGUAACAGCUAGAAAACAAAGUGACUUAUUGUGUAAUUGGGGACAAUGCAGGGAAAAUUGAAAUAAUGAGGGGAUUGUCUUUCUUUCUACUUCUUUAGAUUUCAUUGCUGGCAAUUAAGUACUAAUUAGUUCCUCUGAUGUCUGAUGCUUUGAGGCACACAUAGCAAAUAGUGAGCCGGAAAAUUGAGUGGAAACCCCUAAUCACUUAGAUAAUGAUCCCAGUAGAAGCUUCCUCAGGAGAAUUUUUUCAUGAUAUUACCAGGUGGGACCUGGGUCCUCCUGGUCCUCUGUGUUCAUUUGAUUCAGCACAGGCCAGUUCCACCAGCAAAGGAAGCCAGCUCACUUCUUCAGUACUCUGGGGAAGCAAAGGAAUCAGAGGAAAUGGAGCGUGGAGAUUGGCAUUCUGAGGAAGAGGCAGAAGAGUUCAAGAAGAAACAGUGAGGAUGACUAAGAAACACAGGGGCAUGGGGUGGAGAAGAGAAGGAAGAAGACAGCUUAGGCUCUGCCCUGCUACCAAUGACAGUGCUUGGUAAUAGUCUUAUAGACUGAAGAUUUCCAGGAGACCCCUCUAUUGAAUCCUUGUUGAUUCAGAGUUUACCUAACACAGCAGAUGGUCUUUGGAGUGUGGUUUUGGAGUUGGAUUCAUGAACCAAACCCAUGAGCUGACUUCUCAAGUGUAGCAGAUUCUUGCUUAAGAAUGCUUGGAUCAACCAGGAAAUCAAAAAAGAACUGAAACAAUUC